CGCUAGUGUCCUAAACAUGCUUGCAAUAUUAUCAUGUGGAUUACCAUUAUUUAUUCCGAAUGGUGAAUAGCUUCCUGUUGAAUGUAUGUUUCUAUCCUCCUCACUAAUGCUUUGGGUUCCUAUUGUCUGCAUCCCUAAACUUGGAAAACUACUUGCAACUGAGUUUAUUUUGCUUUGUGAAGAUCUUUUCAAGUCUUGAAGAGCAACUUUUUUUCCUCUUCGUCCAAUAUUUGGCAUUUCAUUUGCAUUUAAUAAGGAUUCAGAAAACAACCAAGAAAUGGCACGCCUAACCUCUAUUAAAUUUUGUGAAAGAAAUUUUAUAGAGGAAACUUUAGAACACCACUUAAUAUGAUAUUCAGCAUGAGGGCCACAAUAAAGUACCACUCCAAGAAAAUUUGACAACUUUUUUUUUGAUAUUUCUUCAGCCAAUCUCUCAUUCAGAGCUACAUCUGCAGACGUAACAAUCAACCUUUUACAACCAUCCAGUUCAUUGUUAACAUCUAACAACUCCUUACAAUUAUCUGCAAUGAAAACAUACGCUCCAAGCGCCUCUACUUCUUCUUUGAAAUUUUUUGCAACAUUAAUCCCUAAAUUUGCUCUUAAAAAUAAUACAAUCG
rnacentral:antisense_RNA from 1 species